GCAUCAGACUGCCCCUGUUGGAGGCGGUCACCCCUAUGGCCAUCUGCAAGACAGUCAGCCUCUGCCCUGAUGUCCAGAAGACAGUGGUGUUUGGCAAGUGCUUUUGGAACUUAAAAAACAUGGUACAAUACAAUCAGAGACCCUCCUCAGCAGACGUUCCUGCAGAGAACACUGACACGUUGAUCAGUAGCAGUGGGAAAUACUUUGGCUACAGGUUCCAAACUGAGAUGAGCAUCUUCCUGUAAAGUGAGCCAGUGCUACUGGAUAAAGUGACCUUGACAUGACUGCUGUGCUGCCAAAAGCCGAGAGCUAACCGGUGACAGUUGUUAGGGUAUACACAGGACCAAGACACCAUAUACUUUUUCAUCAGGGGGAAUGUUACAGCGAGACAACUACCUGGCUCUGCAAAUACCAAUAUUGUCAUAUUUUAGGCUAUCUGGUUGAUUUAUGUUUUUUUAGAGCUAUCAAGUGUUUCCAGCAUAGACUACCU